UACGAAGGGGGCUAGCGUUGUUCGGAAUCACUGGGCGUAAAGCGCACGUAGGCGGAUGUGCCAGUCAGGGGUGAAAUCCCGGAGCUCAACUUCGGAACUGCCUCUGAUACAGCACGUCUUGAGUCCGGAAGAGGUGGGUGGAAUUCCUAGUGUAGAGGUGAAUUUCGUAGAUAUUAGGAAGAACACCGGUGGCGAAGGCGGCCCACUGGUCCGGUACUGACGCUGAGGUGCGAAAGCGUGGGGAGCAAACAGG
rnacentral:rRNA from 1 species